AUUGAACGCUGGCGGCAGGCCUAACACAUGCAAGUCGAGCGGAUGAAGGGAGCUUGCUCCUGGAUUCAGCGGCGGACGGGUGAGUAAUGCCUAGGAAUCUGCCUGGUAGUGGGGGAUAACGUCCGGUAACGGGCGCUAAUACCGCAUACGUCCUGUGGGAGAAAGUGGGGGAUCUUCGGACCUCACGCUUUCAUAUGAUCCUAGGUCGGAUUUGCUAGUUGGUGUGGGAAAGGCAUACCAAGGCGACGAUCCGUAACUGGUCUGAGAGGAUGAUCAGUCACACUGGAAGUGAGACACGGUACAGAGUCCUACGGGAGGCAGCAGUGGGGAAUAGUGGACAAUGGGCGAAAGCAUGAUCCAGAAAAGCCGAGUGUGUGAAGAAGGUCUACGGAUUGUAAAGAAAUUUAAGUUGGGAGGAAGGGAAGUAAGAUAAUAACUUGAUGUAAUGACGUUAACAACAGAAUAAGCACCGGCUAACUACGUG
rnacentral:rRNA from 1 species